rnacentral:rRNA from 1 species
AGUGAACGCUGGCGGUAGGCCUAACACAUGCAAGUCGAACGGCAGCACAGUAAGAGCUUGCUCUUACGGGUGGCGAGUGGCGGACGGGUGAGGAAUACAUCGGAAUCUACUUUUUCGUGGGGGAUAACGUAGGGAAACUUACGCUAAUACCGCAUACGACCUACGGGUGAAAGCAGGGGAUCUUCGGACCUUGCGCGAUUGAAUGAGCCGAUGUCGGAUUAGCUAGUUGGCGGGGUAAGGGCCCACCAAGGCGACGAUCCGUAGCUGGUCUGAGAGGAUGAUCAGCCACACUGGAACUGAGACACGGUCCAGACUCCUACGGGAGGCAGCAGUGGGGAAUAUUAGACAAUGGGCGCAAGCCUGAUCCAGCCAUACCGCGUGGGUGAAGAAGGCCUUCGGGUUGUAAAGCCCUUUUGUUGGGAAAGAAAAGCAGCAGGUUAAUACCCCGCUGUUCUGACGGUACCCAAAGAAUAAGCACCGGCUAACUUCGUG